UUCUUGUACGAUCACCGAAGUUAAGCAACGUCGAACCUGGUUAGUACCUUGAUGGGUGACCGCUUGGGAAUACUUAGUGUUGUAU